rnacentral:lncRNA from 1 species
AACUUUUCAGCUGUACUGGAAAUGUCUGUUAUCUGUAUGGAAGUCACUAGCCACAGUGGCUAUUGAGCACUUAAAAUGUAGCUAAUGGAAGGACGCAUUCAAUAUUUUAUCAUACUGUUUUUAUUUGAUGUCAAUUUAAACAGUCAUAUCUCUUCCAAAUUGAGCAUGUAGGUUUUGGUACAAUGUAAUCACUAAGUUCAUCUCUUAAAGAUUGGAGUUUAAAAUACACUUUUCCUGGAGGUGGUUAUUCAGUGGGCCUACAGUAAGGUCUGAUAACCAGUUGGUCUAGUUUGGUUUCUAUGUCUCACUGUCUCUUAUGUGUCUCUGUCUGUCUCUCUCUCUCUUUCUCUCUCCCCUCCCCACCCACCCUGUCUCACACACAGGAAUGUGUGUAUGUAGAAGCCAGAAGUUGGCAUUGGGUGUUUUCCUCUUAUUCUCUACUUACUUUGUGAGACUGGCUCUCUAACUAAAGACCCCAGGGUUCUACCUGUCUGCCUUUCAGCAACUGGGGGAUUGCAGACGCCUACUGUUGUGCCUAUCUUUUAUGUGGUGCAGGAGAAUCUAAACUUGGGUCCUAGUACUUGGGCAUCAAGUACUCUACCAUCUUCCCAAUCUAGUUUGGUUUUUUAAGACAAAGUUCUCAUUUCAAGUCCAGUCUGGCUUUGAACUUGUGUGUGCUUCCACUUGAACAUUGCUGGAGUUUUAGGUGUGUGCACCAAGCCCUGCCAAGAGGGUGUUUCAUGUGUGUCCAGAAAGUUUUUUCUUACCAAAUCAGUUAGGGAAACACUGUUUGAUUUUGAACUCCUUUCUGCUUUUUAACUCUGACUUGAAUGUUAAUUUAGAAUUUAGUGUAGUAAAAACAAGAUCUGAACAAAGUGGGCAAAUUGGUUGGGCUCUAGUUCUGGCUCUGAAUUCAUUUAUUCAUUUUGUUCUUAAGGCAAGUUGCCUACUGUCAGAGCUUUGAUCUCUUCAUCUGAAAUAUGAGGUGAGAAUCAAGUCUUACUCUUUUCAUAGGGUUUCUGUAAGCCUCCACUCAGAGAUGUGAUGAUCACUGCAAUUAAAAAGUGAGUAGCACUGUCAAUGUCUUCCCAGAUGUCCUUUUCACUGUAUAAGUGCCACCCCAUUAUAAAGCUACUUGUAUAUAAUAGUUUAUUUAAAGCAUUGUAGCCCCAAUUAUUUGACCCUACUUUGUAGACUAGUCAUAGAGCAGGCAUACCAAGUCUAGUAAACUUUUAUACUUCUGUUGUUUGGCACUGAAGCUUAUAGGCUAAUAUCUAUUACUUUGCUUUUUUAAUGUCCAAUUAUGUUACACAUGGUAGAAGUACCCCUUGUAUAUGUAUAUCUAACAGUACUGGUUAGCUCUACUCAGUAACUACAUAGCUUUUUAUUGCAUCUGUAUUUAUUUUGUGUUUGUACACGUGUGAGCUUGUGUAUGCCACAGAAUGGAUGAAGGUCAGAAGACAGCUUGCAGCCUCCCCAGCAUCCAGAUCCCAGGGGUUGAACUCAGGCCAUCAGGCUUUGUGACAAGAUGAAUACACCAGAGAUGUAGCGGUCGAUGUAGCGCAAUGGUACUGCUUGCCUAACAUUUGCAAGAUUCUGGGUUCGAUCCCCAACACACACAUACAAAAUUAAACAACAAUAAUAAUUUUUAAGACCCUUUAGGCCACUGUUUGUUUCCUAAUUACUUGUAAAAUACCUUAUCUUAGCCUGCUUUUGAAGUGAGUUAUAUUUUCUUAAAAGAGAAGGAAAGUGAGACCUAAGUAAUUGUGGCAUCCAAAUUGUAAAACUGACAGAACCAGAAAUUGGACCUAAAAGUAUAGAAAUUUGGACCCAGUUACUCAUCAAACUGUAUUUGAUCCUGAUGGUGAGAUGAGACAGAAACCAGCAGGAACUAAGUAAUUUUCUAGACCCUAAAUCCAGCCAUCUCUUGAUUUCUCAUCUGAACUUUGUGAUCUCAUGUAAGUUUAUGAUUCAAGAAUAAUAGCCACAUGGUAGUGGUUUCGCCUUUAUUCCCAGUACUCAGAAAGCAGAGGCAGGCACAUAUCUUGAAUUUGAGGCCAGCCUUUUCUACAGAACAAGUUCCAAGACAGCCAGAGCUAUACAAAGAAACCCUAUCU